rnacentral:RNase_P_RNA from 1 species
UGGGACAUACGGCGGCGGGACACCUUCGGGUGCCUGAGGAAAGUCCGGGCUUCACAGAGACAGAGCAACUGCUAACGGCAGCCGGGGGUGACCCCAGGGAAAGUGCAACAGAAAGAAACCGCCCGCUUUGCGGGUAAGGAUGGAAAGGCGAGGUAAGAGCUCACCAGCGCACUGGCGACUUUGCGGCUAUGUAAACCCUGCUUGAAGCAACAUCCGUAUGGGACACGUUGGCGAAAGCCAACAGCGGAGUCUCGCGCGUCCCGGAGAUGGCGUGAGCCUUGCGGCGACGCAAGGCCAAGAAAGAUCGUCGUUUAAUACAGAACCCGGCUUACGGACCAGUC